UAAUAUUACAGAGAUAGUAAAUGUACUCAUUCUUUUUAUGCAGCUCAAGUGACAUUGAGGAGAAACCAUGCAAUUAUCCAACUGUACUGACACCAUUAGGGAGCUUGAGCUGGAUCACAGGGAGCUGGACUGGCAAACACACAGAGCUCAUUGCUGAACUACAGGAGUUGGACACAAGCUUUGAGGCCAUGUGGUUGAAUCCAAGAGUGAUCCUCCAUCCCUGGACCAGAGACAUCCCCAUGGAACCUUCAUCCUUGGCCUGGUACCAGCUGUGGGGUGAAAUGGGUAAGAGCACUUUUUAGGUAGCUGCACAGAUGGUGUUUCCUAACCAAACCUUGCAUUGUCUCCA
rnacentral:lncRNA from 1 species